AUUGAACGCUGGCGGCAGGCCUAACACAUGCAAGUCGAGCGGUAGAGAGGUGCUUGCAUCUCUUGAGAGCGGCGGACGGGUGAGUAAUGCCUAGGAAUCUGCCUAGUGGUGGGGGGAUAACGUUCGGAAACGGACGCUAAUACCGCAUACGUCCUACGGGAGAAAGCGGGGGAUCUUCGGACCUCGCGCCAUUAGAUGAGCCUAGGUCGGAUUAGCUAGUUGGUGAGGUAAUGGCUCACCAAGGCGACGAUCCGUGACUGGUCUGAGAGGAUGAUCAGUCACACUGGAACUGAGACACGGUCCAGACUCCUACGGGAGGCAGCAGUGGGGAAUAUUGGACAAUGGGCGAAAGCCUGAUCCAGCAAUGCCGCGUGCAGGAUGAAGGCC
rnacentral:rRNA from 1 species